rnacentral:rRNA from 1 species
AGCGAACGCUAGCGGCAGGCUUAAUACAUGCAAGUCGAGGGGCAGCAGGACUGUAGCAAUACAGUUGCUGGCGACCGGCAAACGGGUGCGGAACACGUACGCAAUCUACCCAAAACUGGUGAAUAGCCCUCCGAAAGGAGGAUUAAUACACCGUAACAUAAUGGUGUGGCAUCACAUUAUUAUUAUAGCUCCGGCGGUUUUGGAUGAGCGUGCGGCNGAUUAGAUAGUUGGCGGGGUAACGGCCCACCAAGUCUGCGAUCAGUAACUGGUGUGAGAGCACGACCAGUCACACGGGCACUGAGACACGGGCCCGACUCCUACGGGAGGCAGCAGUAAGGAAUAUUGGUCAAUGGACGCAAGUCUGAACCAGCCAUGCCGCGUGGAGGANGAAGGCCCUCUGGGUUGUAAACUUCUUUUAUAUGGGACGAAACCUUCUUAUUCUUAAGAGACUGACGGUACCAUAGGAAUAA